GGGGGCAAAAUGCGAGUUUGUGGGGGGUGUCAGGGUCCCCUGAACCGGCUCAGAGUUCCGCCUCUUGUGAUAGGAAGCGCCUGCUAAAUAGUCCCGGCUAUUCAGCGCUUCCGCCUAACUUGCCGCAAAGUUUUUCUAGAGAAGUCGCCUCUUUUACUCAGCGCUCCUGCAGGCUGCUAGAGCUAACCUUCCUCUUCUUAGCUGGGUUUGCACUACGCUCGGGCCUUUUGAACUUUGCUUCUCCCACAGCCUAGGAGCUGGAGCGGUAGCGCGGCGACCGUGUGCCUCCGCGCGCCCGAGGGGAGCCGGACCCCGGAGGAAGGGGCGGAUCGGGCGCGGUGUUUGGGACGGAGCGGGGCGCGCGGCGCUCGAAGCACCCACUCGGCGCAUUCCGGGGCUGGUGGAGACAGCAUGGGUACUGCUGCGACCGCACCCCUCGAGCCGUAGAUUCGCGGGCCCACGGGUGUCCGACUCGACGGCGUCCCCAUUGUGGGUCCAGUCUUUGGUCAUUGGAGGUCUUUUCUUGCAUCUACGCUCAGCUCUCUGGCGCGCGCUCCCUCCUCCACAGAGUUGGCCAAAGGCGCCCUUCUUGCAGACCCCAACCACACCCAGUGGCCGAUGGAUUUCUUUGUAACUGGCUUUCUCACUUGUAGGGUCCAUUUUGAGGCUGUUCUUAACAUGGUGUCCUCAUUGUCAAGUAGACAGUCUCUUCCUAGAUGGAUAUGGUAAUGGAGAAUAUAUAGGGUGAAUGUAUAUAAGGUGAAAUGUUGUAACUCUUUUAAGUAGACCAACAAUACAGGGUAGCUUUAAGGUUCAGAAUACAAAAGUUUAGGUUCAGUUUUGCUUAAUUCGGGGGGGGGGGGCGUUUAGUAUUUGUGAGCUAUUGUAGCCAAAACAUUCGUUGGGUAUGUUUGGAUAUCAAAAGUCUAAAAAACACCAGAAAAAUAAAAUAAGUCAAUAUUUAAGGAAUUCGUAAGAAUGCUGAACUUUGGUUAUAGCAGUGGUGAAAAAGACACUAAACUGUACAUCAGGAUAGGAAUUUCAUUAACUUGAGUGACUGUGUUAGGUUUAGUUUACUGUUUUUUUGUUUUUUUAUGCAGCCAGGGAUCUGAUUUGAGUGUACCUUAAAGUUAGUAUUCUCAGGUUGAACAGAUAGAAACCAUUUAAGUUGAGGGAGUGAAAUAACCUGACAUUUUUCAAAGUUUUAGCUGCAAAUCCAUAGAAAUGAAUUUAUUAUCUUUUAGCAAAACUGUAUGUUUCUGAUACUUAUAAAGGAAGACAUUGCAUUGGGUUAACAUUUUUCAGGCCAUUAGCAUUUCAUGAGGAUGGUAAGCAUAGUAGACCACGUUCAUUUUUGUUAAAAUUCUUAUAAAUAAGAUGAGCCCCAAGUGUAGAAAAUUGUUAACAAAAGGGGAGGGAGGGAAAAAAUGCAGGUAUCUGACCUGUUUUGCACAUCCAGACUAUUCCUUAUUGUUGCAGUGAAAGUAAGAAUCAAUGUCAGUUCAAAAUGUUAUAUCUGUUUUUAUGGAAGGGUAAAAGAAUAUACAACCACAGUGAAUACCUAUCUGUGCAUCAAUAUGUAUGAACUUUUAAAUGGUUGAGUUUUUUUUUUUUUUAGAAAUUAUUAUCACACUUUAAAUCCUAUUCUGUUCUUUCUUUAUAGUGUUAUGUGGUUCCAAGUUUUUGUAUCUUGAAGCAUUCCAGAAGAUAUAUUUUAGUAUAAAUACACAAUUUGACUCCAGAAUGUACUUUAAACAUGUCCUUUAAUGUACUUUUAUUGUUACUUUUCUGUUUGGAAUUGUUCUUAUGGAAGUAUUGUCUGCUUUAGAUCACUUAAUACAACCUUUUGUGGGAGGGGAGGGGAUGAUGAAAGUUUUGAGUCUUGCUCAGUUAUCUUCAGGGACUCUACCAGAAGUUUUGUGAUAAAGCACUAUAAGGAGAAGGAAAGAAUUGUGGUGAAGUUGAAAUUUUUAUUAUCGGAUUCCAGGUGUGUAGGCUCUGAAAGUUUUAGUUCUGUAUGGGGGUGUUGGCUUUACAUGGUAAGCAAUUUUCAUGGGAUGUUAGAAAGCACAAGUGAGUAUAAAGAGGUAGUGUGGUGGUAGUGGUAGUAGGAUAUCUUGCUUGGAAUCAGAUCUAGAUUGUUCUAGGUUUGUGAUUUUUUGGGCAAGAUUCAUUUUCCUGAUCUUGAAAUAAACAAAGAAAGUGAACUAGAUUGAGCCUAACCUCCCUUCUAAACUUUGAGUUUUGUGAUUUUUAUAAAUUUAUGUUAUGUUAUCAUGGAGUAGCAAUGAUGGGUUAUGGGCCAGAAGUGGAGAAGGUUUUCUUUUUCCUCUUAAAUUUAAACACAUAAUAUGAAGCAUAAUUGAAUCAAGAGUAUAAAAACAUUCUUACAACAGGUUUUACAGUCAGUUUUAAAAUCUUGGUCUUCAUUUCCAGAUAUCGUCUCUUUUGAUCACUGUUCCUGAUUGUGGCUUUGUCCAAGCAUUAAAUUGCGUGCCUUUUGUUCCUUGAAGAAGGAGGUACUGGGAUACCACAGUUAUCAUAUAAUUCCUCUCACCAAAUACAAAAAAGUAAUAUGAUGAAGAAUGAAAACUUCAAGUAAUGAAGUAAACAAGAGGCUGCUCUAUGAUGACUGACCAAAAUGAUUUGGAUUAUUCCAUCUUAAAAAUUCUGGUGCUAACGAGUCCCAACUCAGCCUCUGG